UGCCUUUCUCGUUGAGUUAGCAUAACUUUGCCCAUUUGAAGUCGAGUUUCAUCUCUUCAAGUUUUGUUGGAUCUCAUCCUGAUGGAAGAGGAAGAUCAAAAGUUUUCAGUCGUAGUGUCACCCCAAAAGGCUUUAUGAAGGAAAUCUGAUAUCAAAGAAGAUUCUUCGAAAGGGAUAACGAGGACUUGCCUAACCCUAUGAGCUCAAAAAAAAACAAAAAACAGAAAACAAAAAAAUCAAAAUCAAAAUCAAAAAUAAAAAAUCAAAAAAAAGAAGAAAAAUCAAAAUCAAAAUCAAGGUCAAAAUGAAAAUGAAAAAAGAGAAGAA
rnacentral:lncRNA from 1 species